GAUCCGCGAUAAAACAAGUACGAAUGCUCUUGUUUAGUCUGACCACUGGAGACUAAAGUGAUCUGUUGGUAAUGCCUUGGGAACUCAGUAAGGGAUUGCGUACCUCAUUCUCACUCAAUACAGUUUAGAGAUGAGUCAUCUGUGUUGAUCUUCUCCCAGCACAAUUUCCCUGUUUAAGGUAAAUAUCACCAAACACUGUAAAUAUGACUAAUGUUAUCUCUGUGUGAUUCAUUUAGUAAUUAAACAAUAGUGGCAUGUAGUCAGAGCCCACAGGACCUUCUCUGUAGGUCAUAAUACUGAGAAGCACUUAUAUUUACAAUUUAUUGUGGAUGUUAAUUUAUUGCCAACAGUCUGGUAUCUUCAUUUCAUUUCUUGACGGCAGCUUCUAAUCAUCAUUUUUAGUACAAUUACAUUUCAACUUCUGUGUGUUGUUAUUUUAAUAUAAUCUUCCCAGGGCCAUCACAAUCCGAAUCCUGGUAUAUGAUACAUACGCACGUUGAACAGAAAACAAUACAGAGCUGCUCUUAAAUCAGUUAUCAUGGUUUUUAUGGCAACAAAUAAUCUACACUUCUGUAUCAUUUUCACAAAGUCAUGUUGGGACAAAGUGAACAGUUGAAUUGUUAAUAUAUGAAAACUCUUGGAUUUAAAGGAAAAUAAAAGGACUCAGCCCAGGCCAGACUGAGAUUUUGCACUUGGAAGAGGUCAUAUAUGGGCCCUAAUCUGGGAUUGCUGCAUGUUCAGUUACGCAUUCAACUGCUGCUUGUGCAACCUAAUUACUUAUAUAAUGGGCUAUUUGAAACUGUUAAUUGGUUGUACGUGCUGACUGUCAAGUCCUGAGUAUUAACUGAUGUCAUGGGUUUCUAAGAUGAAGUCCCACAUUUUGCCUUGAAUAAAAGUUGAUUGAAAGUGGUAUAACCAACAAUAUUUGAGGCAGAAAACAAAACCAAGAUUUUUGAUAAAAUAUUCUUCUCUAGAGAUUUCGUUCACUAUAAUAUGAAUGUAUAAACAUGUUGUUGGUCAGUAGAGCUCAUGAUCCUUCCAUCUCCAGCGGCUACUCCACUUUCACUGCUCUUGUGGUGACAAGUUUAAGGUUGGAACACCAGGUAUUACAUCAUGUCACGUCCACAGCAGGAGGUUCUUGGAAAACUCGCCUUUCAUCCUUCAUGCUCUCAUGGUGGAUGGGAACCAAAGACUCAUGAGGGUUGCAAGGGUCAAGGGUUGGCAGAAGGGUGCUGACCCACACUGACCUCAGGCGGACCAAAAGGGGUUUGUGUGGGAAAGACGGGGGUGGAUAUGGACCACUUCUCCCCUAACAUAGUAGAAUAGGAAAUAGGAAGAUCAGAAAGUAAGUCAGACAGAUGAUUCAAUAUGUCAUCCGUAGCUAAACGGCUUGAGCAAUAAAUAUAUGCUGUACUCUCUUCAAAAUUUGGAACACAGUAUGAAUUUAAUGAUUGUGGACAACCGAGUGAGUCAAAAGACAUUUGCUAUAGAUAGUGACAAAACAGAACGGGGGGGUUAAGCAACAAAGGGCACAAAUGCCAUCAUAGUCCAACUUCCAGAGGUGGGUGCAUCAAUAAAUUUUGCCGGUCUGUCAUUCACCAGCAGCCAGACCACCAUCGUCAAUCCGUCACUCUGUCAUCAUUAUGUUAACUGCGCUUCUGUCAGUUUGUCACCGCUAUUUUAGUAUCGUCAACCAGUCCGUUAAUGCUUCGUUGUUAUUUUAACCAAAUAUCUGUCAUCAUUAAAUUGUACGUUGUCAUCAGUGAUUAAAGACCGUCAGAAAUCCUUUUUUUCUUCUUCUUCUACUAUAUACUACUUUCACUUUGGAGAAAAGUUAGUUUUUGUAUAGUCCGGUAAAAAAUGAAAUUAUUAUUCUUUACGUGAACCCACCACCAAGGCUGGAGUGACUGGGGCUCCAAUAUAAAGACUCCCACCCCCACCCCACCACCACCAAUUCCACUCUGCACCUCACUGGACCACCUCCAACGAAGACUUCAACACAAGCAUUCCUGACAUCCCUGAGAAGGUUGGCUGACCUGGGUUCCCCCAGCUCACCUGCUGCAGGAUUAAGGACUUUCUUUCCAACCAAUCAGUCAAACUAGAUCCCCGCCGUUUUUCUCCUCUCGGAUCUUAAGCGCUCACUCCCCACAAGGCUACAUGUUGAACUCAAUGCGCUACACCAACAAUGGGAAUCCUGCCCACUCAAGCAACACCAUUGAAGUUUGCAGACAACAUAUCUUGGAUCAUGACCUGCAACUAUCUAAGUGGUGCUCAAAUAAUUAGCCCAGCUAGAUUGUAAGAAUGGCAAACUAAACAGACAACAUGAUCAUCAAGCUGAACACGUCUAUUCUAAAUACUCGACACGAUGGUUGGUGUUAUAGGGAGAGACCUCGGUGCACCUUGGUGUUGCAAAUACACACACAAAAAAUAUAAAACUGAGAACAGAUAAAAGAUUGCAAAUAUCAAAUUCAUAUGUAGUUGAUGUUUGUAAAACUUUGUGAAAUGUGGUUGUUUAAAAGUAGCGAAUGUGUAAGUUUAAAUCUAGCAAUUUCUAAAUCAAAUAGAAUUAGAAGGCUAAACAAAACAAGCUUAAACAAGCUUACCCAUCACAAUCCAAAUGGAUUUAUCUCUGUGACCUUGCAUCCCUUGAAUCUCUUCAAAAGUGAACGCAGAGGCUAACAGUUUCAUCAAAUAAGUGACUGAUUGUCAUUAGAGAGAGAUGAGCAAGGCCAAUGAUGCAGGCUGUUGCACUUGUUAGUGUACACUGCCAUUCAGUGGUGCAUCAUGGUAGGUACCGAGACACAUUCUGAGCAGGAAAGGUCAUGUAUGUGAUUCACAUCAAAUAUAUUUUCACUUUACAUUGACCCUAAGGAGGUGGCUAUCUGCUUUAUUGAACUGAUGACAAUUUAUUGCAUUCUCUGUAGUACUAUUUCACUAAAUAUAUACCAAUGAUCAUCAAAGCAUGGCCCAGACAGUGGUAUAAAACUUUUAUGUCUUUCAGAAUGAAAAGAAAACAUGCAUUUUAAGCAUUCAGUUUUUGUCACAUAUAUUGUUUUUUUUUAUAACGCAGCGGUUUUCAUUCAAUUUCUUGCAAGAUAAGAUACUCCAAUGCUGGUUUUGCUUAAAACGUGCAAAACAACUUGGCUUGAUGAAAGUCAUGUAGGUCAUUUCUUGUGUUAUAAAUGUGCUGAAAUGCUAAAUUAAACUUUUAA